GGCGAACGGGUGAGUAACGCGUGAGUAACCUGCCCUGGAGUGGGGGACAACAGUUGGAAACGACUGCUAAUACCGCAUAAGCCCACGGAUCCGCAUGGAUCUGCGGGAAAAGGAUUUAUUUGCUUCAGGAUGGACUCGCGUCCAAUUAGCUAGUUGGUGAGGUAACGGCCCACCAAGGCGACGAUUGGUAGCCGGACUGAGAGGUUGAACGGCCACAUUGGGACUGAGACACGGCCCAGACUCCUACGGGAGGCAGCAUG
rnacentral:rRNA from 1 species